rnacentral:rRNA from 1 species
GACGAACGCUGGCGGCGUGCUUAACACAUGCAAGUCGAACGGAAAGGCCCUGCUUGCAGGGUACUCGAGUGGCGAACGGGUGAGUAACACGUGGGUGAUCUGCCCUGCACUUCGGGGUAAGCUUUGGAAACUGUGUCUAAUACCGGAUAGGAACCAUCUUUAGUGUAGGGGUUGGAAAGUUUUUUCGGUGUAGGAUGAGCUCGCGGCCUAUCAGCUUGUUGGUGGGGUAAUGGCCUACCAAGGCGGCGACGGGUAGCCGGCCUGAGAGGGUGUACGGCCACAUUGGGACUGGGAUACGGCCCAGACUCCUACGGGAGGCAGCAGUGGGGAAUAUUGCACAAUGGGCGCAAGCCUGAUGCAGCGACGCCGCGUGGGGGAUGAAGGCCUUCGGGUUGUAAACUCCUUUCGCUAGGGACGAAGCUUUUUGUGACGGUACCUAGAUAAGAAGCACCGGCUAACUACGUG